rnacentral:rRNA from 1 species
UACGUAGGGGGCGAGCGUUGUCCGGAAUUACUGGGCGUAAAGGGUGCGUAGGUGGCCUUUUAAGUUGGAUGUGAAAUACCCGGGCUUAACUUGGGGGGUGCAUCCAAAACUGGAAGGCUAGAGUGCAGGAGAGGAAAGCGGAAUUCCUAGUGUAGCGGUGAAAUGCGUAGAUAUUAGGAGGAACACCAGUGGCGAAGGCGGCUUUCUGGACUGUAACUGACACUGAGGCACGAAAGCGUGGGGAGCAAACAGGAUUAGAUACCCUGGUAGUCCACGCGGUAAACGAUGAAUACUAGGUGUAGGGGGUAUCAACUCCCCCUGUGCCGGAGCAAACGCAAUAAGUAUUCCGCCUGGGGAGUACGGCCGCAAGGUUGAA